GUGCAGCAGAGGCAGAGAGCAGAGAGGAGUUUGUGGAGACAUUAUAAUAAGAACCUACAUUUCCAGGACUUUUUUAAAGCUGAGAUCACAGCUACCAGCCUUGGACCAGACCUUGUUCUGGUCUCAGCCUCCAGCUUGUUUACAUCCUCGAGGUACCCCCAGUGGAAGUAGGCUGUAGAGGGUUGGUAGCCUCCUCAACAUCCAGGCUGCUCAGGGAGAUGGGAGUGGGAGGGGAGGCCCAUCGGCAGGCCAUCAAAGACCUCUCCAGGGCUGCUGAAAAGGAGAGCCAGUGGCUGUGGAUGAAAAGAAAGGACUCCUGGGCCUUCAAGGAGUGAACGUGGGACGCUGGGAUCCACUGCUGAACCCUCGGGAGGUGUCGGGGGCCUAUCAGCAGAACACCU